rnacentral:misc_RNA from 1 species
UAAAAAAAAAAAAAAAAAAGGUAAGGAAAUAGGCAGAUAAUAUAACACAAUUUUAAAUCAAUUGAUAAUUAAGAAAGGGCAGCGACUUCUAAAAGCACAUAUUAAAUUAAAAAAUCUAACAUGAAAACUGAUAUCACAGGAACUUGCCCUCCGUUCACAAAAUUCCAAGCCUGUGGCAUCGAUAAAGAAUAAAGAACUUUGAGGUGUGUGAGUUGGGGAAUCUCAAGUAAAAUACAGAUUCAAACAUGCAACAAUUUAUUAGGAACUGAUCAAAGAUAUUAUGGUUAUUUGCUAAUAAAUUCUAAAUAUUCAGUUCCAAGACCCACAAAUAGCAUCCAUUUUGUACAAACCCAAUUCAGAAACAGGGCAUCCACCAUUCUGACUUUGAGAGUACUUCUCACUUAUUAAACAUCAUCCAUCACAUGGCAUAUUAGGAAAUUGAUGUUAAAGAGAUACAUAUACUAACAGAAGGAAUGCAUACUUGUAAAAUCUGUACCAUCCAUGUAAAGUUUACAUUCAGCAAUUCACUCAUAAGCUUUCAAGCUAACUGAAUAGAGCUCAUAAGCUUUUAAGCUAACAGAAUAGAGAAGUCAAAAAAUAAAGAAAUUAAAGCUUUUUCAAGUGAAAUUCUUAGAUGAAUCCUGUACAUCAUAAAACAUAGAUACAGCACUUGUUGGAUCCACAUAUGGCUUUUCUAGUCUUCGUGAUGAACCAAGUCCUGCCUUGCAUACAUGCAUAACUACCUCAAACUAAAGAAUAAUAUACAUGAGCCAUGAUAUUUAACCAAUUCCUUACUCAAGCUUUAUAUACCAGAUUUAUGGCUCAUCCAGAAAUAAAACUACACCCCAAAAGUUGCAGCAAAAGAGAUCUUUUUUAUCAGUUUAUAUUAAAGAAAAAUAACGCUGCACUCAAUUAUGUCAAUUCAAGACAAAUAUUUGCACAAGACCCAUUGAAUUUUAUUUUCAUAAUCUAUGAGAGCAAAAAUGUAAAAUACAGCACAACGGCUUCUAGAAAAUACAGUGACGAAAGAAAAGCUAACAGCACAUUAAGUGGCUGAACAUUGACCAUUGAAGAAUGAUAGAAAGCCACCUAUCCCAAAGAAGAAAAAAGUAGAAGAAAACACUAUAUUACAUUAUUCACAUCUGACUAUGGAGAGAUCCCUGUAAGGGAAUGAGGACCUACAGACCUUCACACAUUCCCAAGAAACUGGAAAACGACAACAUAUUACUCGCAGAGGUGGUGAAGAAGAGAAAUGAGGGUAUACCUUUGCAAUUGCCCAAAACUGAGCAAAAUCAGCUACCCGCAGAUUGCGGUCAUCCACUAAGACGAGGCACACAUACCAGCACAAAAAGGUCAAUUGCCAAACAAAACUGCAUCUGUAGUUAGUGAAAAUGAAAGCAGUGCACAAGCACUGAAUCACCACUAAAUCUAUAAUCAGACCAAAUCAUUUAAGUUGUUGAAUGCAUUAACAAGCCAGGAUAACCAGAAGAACCUUGAAUCACUUUAUAUUGUUUUUAAUCUUAUAAUUUGAAAUUUUUCUUUGAAGACAUUAAAAUGCUGCUAAUAUAUAAAGAUAAAAAGAAAGGUUUUCAUUGCCUUUAGCUCUACUCAAUAGAUCAAGCCUGCAAAGGAAAUAGUCAUUGACUUGGUACUAAAUCUAGGAUCAGAUGCAAGAAAUCUGACAACAAACCAAAUGGUUUAAAACCACAACAUGAUCAAACUAAAAGGGAACCAUGUCAACCAAUUAGGCCACAAUUGAAUUACUCCAUCUGCAAAGAAAUGGACAUCUCAAGAAAGCCACUAUCCUUGAAAUGGCUACAAUAUAAGGAGAGAAAACAAUUAAAAAAAGAAGGGCAUUAAGCAAAGAUAAUUAUCUUUAUCAUCAAUUAAAGGCCAAUUCCAGAGUAAAGGUUCAUACCAAUAACAAGCGUGAAGAUUCCCUCCUCAAGGGUCUUUUUGAAAGCUUUCAACAUGCUGUCUCGAUAA